AGGCUCACACCGUUAAACAGACAACAUGGCGGCGGCGGCGGCGGCAGCAAUGCGCCGCGUGCGCCUUGGACCUUGGGUCACUUUCAGGUGGGCCGCGCUCUCUUGGUGGCCGCUUGCUGUGCGCGGCUCGGCCCCUGGUGGAGGCUGCCGGGCUCCGGGAAGAGUCCUCCUGUGAUGUGGUCCCAGGGCUGGGUGCCCGCGGCCGAGGGCGCGGCUCCGCGGAGGAGCUACAGUCUGAGCUUCGCGCCCGUGUAGCGCUUCCUGUGCCUAAAGCUGUAAGGAGCAGCCCGCCUGCCUGUCAGAGCGGCCUCCCUCAGCGCCGGGGACUGAAAUGCACUUUACGCCCUCAUCUCUACACGGCCAAGAAUGAAGAAGGAUGGAGGAGAGCAGUGUGGGAGAAGAACCUGAAAAUGAUUGAACAGCACAGUCGGGAAUACAGCUCAGGGAAUCCCAGCUUCACAAUGACAAUGAAUGCCUUUGGAGACAUGUUUUCCAACUUAUGAUGGAGCUCCUGUUUUUAAUUGGGUAAACGUGAAUUCUGCAUCAAAGAAGAAUGAAACAGAAAAACAAAGGAAUACAAUGGUCCAUGGCUUUGCAGCAUCAAAAUUUGGAGAAGCUCUGCGGACGGAUCCCUGGCAACUGACAGGUGCCAGACCAGUUACGCAACAGGAGAAGAGAACAGCCUCUCUCCACGCCUUAGCCCCAGAGUCUGCGAGAAGCUGCAGCGGUGCAUGUAAAGAGACCAAGGCCAGGACCCAGCACCCCAUCCCAGACUUCCACUGUCUUGGCUCUGAUGCUUCCUGGAACCUGAGAGGAAUGCCCAGCUUUGUAAUGCCUCUGCACACCUGCCCUCCACAGCUGCCUGGAGUUCCAAGUGGCAUGGAAGCAAACAAAAUGCGGAGAAAUAGACCCUGGGGGGUAGUGAGACCUCCAUAGGUUACUUUCCUCAUUUUCAGUUUUUUGUUGUUUGUGUAAUGACAGUGCUAUGAAAACAGGUGCAAGGAAGAGACCUGGGUAAGGGGCGGUCCUGCAGUGCCUCACUUCCCUCCCUCCCCGCCCUCCCUUCUGGAAGACAAAGCACAUUGUGAGCGCAGCACAGACAGAAGCCAAUACACUACCUUUUUAUGAGGGAAAAAAACAUGUUUAUUGGGGAGCGUUAAAUAUGUUGGAUGUGCUAAUGAGAAAAAGUUUUCUCUACAUGUACUGAAUUUUUCUGGGAAACAUGAACGAAGAAAAGUUGGAGCACUUUGUGGUUGCCCAGACUAGACACCUCUGCAAAGAAGACAGUGCCGUGGGCAGUGUGGCUUUUCGCCUGGGAUGCGUGGCAUGGCUGGUCCUCCCUGGCAGCGACUGACUGGAGAAGGCACAGUCUUCUUUUGGGACCAGGACACGGAGCUCCUCAGGUCCAGCUGCUCGUUGUUGGAUCUGACACUUUCCAAGGACUCUUGGUGUCUGACUUGCCUUUCCUAGACAGGACAAGUCUGGCCCUGCUGGGUGGCUGGCUGGCCACAGGGUGCAUGACUCAUUUUCCCUGGCUCUGAGUAGCCAGGCUGCCCGUGAGAGUGGUAACACCCACGUACUGGGGCUUGGAAUUUCUGUUCCUGUUUAUUUAACUUUGCGGUGUGAUGUCCUCGGAGAACUGCCACUUUCUCCUUUACAAUCUGUCCGAUCUCUCUCAUUAGCACCUGAGCCUCAGCGUCCUUGUUCUCCAAUAUGGGCCCAGUGCUCCAGAUCCCUGUUUGUGCUCUCCCAUAGGCCCUCUCAGGAUGGCACUGGGGCACCUAAUAAGCCAAGUUGUCUUGGAUGAGAGGCAUGUGUGUGGGACAAUCUUGAGGAUGGUUCUUUGACUACCUUCACUUUGGUCUUAACCUCACUAACAGCCUCCAUUUGGGGAUACAGUUCUCCUGGGUACAGGAAAACAGACUUUCUAUGGAGUGGGGAACUUUCGCUGGUCCCUGGAGCUUCUGAAAUCCCUGUAUGCACAUUUAACUUCUGACAUUUUGUUUCCAAAAUGACUCUGAGACUGUGGGUGGCUGAAGAGCUGGGAACUCCUUGGCCUCCCUAGGCUGUUCGGCCCUCAAAGACUGGGAUCUUGAGUUUACCUCCAGCGUUGUUACCUUACUGCAGGAGUCUUGUGAGGCCCAACCCCCACUGUCCUUUCUCAGCUCAUCCCUGGCCAUUGCUGAACAGGAACUCAGCUCCAGGCCGCCCCUCCGGGCCUGCUCCGUACUCCCAUUCUGCCAGGUUCUGCCCAUGACGUUCAGUGUGCGGCGCUGAAAAGGUGGCCGGCCCUCCUGUCCAAUCGGACAGGAUUUGGGGUAUCUGGUCAUCACCCGAUGGGAUCCCUCCCCAGACCUUUUCUGCACACACAUGUGAGGGGGCGAGGGGGGGCCUCGCUGUGGUGAAAGCUGACUCCUUUAUUUCCACCAUCUCUCCUGGAAAGGCCUGAAGAGGUAUUCCCGCAAAGUCAGUAAACAACUAUCAGGAGGAUGCCAGACACACAGGUGCCUGGGGUGGGGGGUAAGGUUGACUGCAGAAUGGGCAAGGGUUGAGCCUUUUUCAGUUUAAAUACAGUUAUGGCCUUAAGGACCUUAAGGAGUACACGCCACCUGUGCUUCACCCGGAGCCUUGUGGUAUGUGCUUCUAGCAUCUGUUGAGGGCCUAGCUCAAGGAAGGGAGUCCUGUGGCAGCUGUUUACACGGGGUUUCCAGCCCUUUAAGAGUCCUCGAUUUCUGGUUUCUUGGUAACUGUCGAACAUGGGAAAAGCUCACCUGACAGCAAGCCGGAUGCGUGCAUACUCACUGAGCUCCGACCUUCACCGGUCUUCCCCAGCGUCCUUCUUACAUGGCUUUUCAGGGUGUUUUCUACACUCUUGUCUAAUUCCCCCAGUAAAUCACAUCCCGAGUCACUCCUUGGGAGCCUCAAAUCACUUUCUGACUCCUCUGAGCUCACCCCUUGCAACCUCACUAGGGGGCUUUCUGAGCCACUGGAGAGAUCUUCUGGGACCCGCCCCAUGAAGCCUGUCGGGUCCGUGCCCAGGUCUUGCCCGAGCCGCAGUCCCUCCUUCUCGGCAUUCUUGCUGCUUUCACCUGCGUAUGUGAUGGGCCGUGAGGGUCCGUGCUUGCGCGUGCCUGACUAGUGCCUGGUAACUCACCCUGGAGCCGCUUUAGUUCCACACUCUCCUGGAUCUUGCCAGGCAGCUCCCACUGGUGGCGAAUGAACCGCUCUUGGAGGUGUUGCUCCAGUUUCUUCUGGAUCUCAGGGCUGUUGGGCCAUUUUUCAGUAAGCAUAGCAACGACCCUGCUGUCCUCAGGAUGGGUGGAAGUACGGACACUACAGACUUCCGGAGGCCUUUUGACCCCAGAGGAUAGAGCCCGCUGACUUUCUAUUUGGUUCUGCAAUGUGGGCCAUUGUAGAUGAUGAACCUCAGUUGGGAUGAGAGAUUGUGGCUUAUCUGGAAAGUAGGGCAAGGUACUCCACAGGUCCUAAUCUGGUGUGCACAAGGUGGUAGGUUUGGGAGAGGGGAUUGGAGAUAGGCUGGCCUACGGACAUGAACCAGACAGAACUGGUGGCUCUAAUUGAGGCAUGCUUGGAGUCAGUGGUUGAUAUUGGAACUCCAGUUGGGACAGAGGCUGGGACUGGAAAGACGGUGGAGAAAUUUUAGCCUGCAUUUGAACUGGGUAAUAAUUUGAGAUUACAUUGAAUAAAAAUAUGUAGACUGUAGUGCUGAAGGGCUCUCAGAGAGAUGCAGGCAGUGGCCCCAAGGGAUUCGCUAUGUAGGGCAGGGAGACCCCAGAAAAGCUGGUCAUAUGUCUGCUGUAGGUGGUCCUCCAAGACUUUGGGAUCUGAGGGCUGCUGAGGACCAGGCAGCUGUUCUGGUUUGCCUUUUGCACUGCAGGAGAGUUGGGGGUUUGUGGUGUCCUGCUCAGCACCCAGUGGUUUCAAUGAGCUCCCCUAAAAAUUCAGGUUGUAGGCUGAACCCAUUUGUUUCGGACGUGAUCUGUCCUUUUCUUUCUCCUUACAAAUCUUGAUCUUGACUCUCUUUGUAAUUUCUAUUUCCUAGGGAUUCUGGCCAUCACAGCUUAGAAAGAGGGGGUACCAGCCACUACCUGUAUGCCUGGGUCUCCCCAGAAUGAGGCCACUGCUUGGGACCCAUACUUUGAGGAGGUGGAGAGGCUCCAGGCUUUGGCAGCUGUAUCCCACCAGGACAGGUCCACAAUGGACAGACCAAGGCCCAAGAUGACUAGAGCGGGAGAAGCUGCCGAAGCCUUGUGCAGAGAUGGGCUUCAUGGGACGGCCCAGUGGAGUGCCACUGGGUCACACUGAGGAAGAGUCGCAGUGGAGUCUGGUGCGGCGGGGGAGGCACAGGAGUCUGUCAGAGGUGGAGGGUGGGAUUCUAAAUCAGGGACAUGGGGGUGAAGGGGAAGAAGCAAGUGGCUGGGGUGAAAGGCUGUCCAGGGGAGGGAAGAGCUCUGGUGGUUGGGAGACACUCAGGGAGGGGUGUGCAUGAACAGAAAGUGCGGAGGCCGGUGGGCCUGGUGAAGCAGUGGAGGCCAGGGGCAGAGGUUGUUUCAGCAGGGGGGUCUGGGAAGCUGAAGGGGACAUGGCAGGAGAAACACUGCCUACAAGCUCCCUGUGUGGCUGAUGGGCUCCAGUAGUCUGUGCUUUGCAUACCUCACCAGGGGGGUCUUGACAUAUAUGAUGAGAGCAGCCCUUGUUGGGGAUCCUGCUCAGGUGGCUGAAGACAGGGGCGACAAGCUGCAGCCAGCAGCAGAUGUGACAUGGCCAGGAGGGCCAAGGCGGCCGAGCAGGGGUGGGCUUCUGGGUCCCCUGACCCUUCACAGCCCCCACACUGACUUCCUGGUGCUCCUGCUGUCCCACCCCCCAGGACUGUACCCACACCUGUCCCCGUGGCUGCCUCUCCCAAGUCAGCCCCAGGCCGCUGCAGCCCUGGAAUCCCAUUACAGGCUCUGGGAGGAAGGACCCGAGAGGGAAGGCUAAGCUUCAUUACAUCUCUAGAUGUGACAUCAGGCUGCUUGUCACCUCCAGUUUUCGCAGGCAACGUCUGUAACCUGGAAAGUGGAAGACAUGGUCAUGGUGGGGAAGGCAGGGACCUAGGGGUCUUUUAGGAGCCUGAGGGCCAUGUUGCUUUAGGCAAGACUUUCCGAGCUUAGAGUCUGGAGCCGAAGCCUCAGUGUCCAAGGCCGCAGGAUCCCUGACGGCAAUAGCAAGACUCAUGAAGGGGAACGCUUUAGCAUUUCCAAGGUACUUCUACAUCCCUUAACCUCUGUGACCCUCACAGCCACCCCCAGAACCACCCUUUGUGGGGGAUAGGGCAGGGCCACCUUAGAGAGGCUCCUGAGGGAAGUUUAACACAUUGGUGAUGUUAAUAACCCAGAGAGUGGAGCUGCAUCUCAGCUGAGUAGUUGAAACAUAUUCUAGAAGAGUAUUGUUGUGCCCCGUUUCCUUGAGUCCCCCGUGUGGAGCCGCAGUUACCAGCCUCAGUCGCGAGAUGUAAGAGCAAAACAGGUCUUUAUUGCUAGUUUGAACUAGGGUGUCAGUGGCCCGUCAAAACACAAGACUCGGUCUGAGACCCUGAACAAAGUUCCCUUUUUGCUUUUAUACUGUAGCAAAAAACAGGUAGGGGCUUUCCAAGGGGGGUGGUUUAUUGUGACCUUAGCUGAUUGGCUGAGGAGGGUUGCUGGGCAAGGUUUCCGCGGGAAUGGGCUUGGCUUGAGCGGGAAACUCCUUACCCAAGAUGGAGGGACAUAGUUAUUCAAAAUGGAAGACACAAAAUGGAGGCAGGGGUCAUGUAGGGGACACAGCUAUUCAAGAUGGCGGACACAAAAUGGAGGCAGGGGUCAUGUUGUAGGGGACACAGGUAUUCAAGAUGGCAGACACAAAAUGGAGUCAGUGGUCCCACAUUCCCCCCUUUUCUUUUGUGUCUGAGUGGGCAUUCUUGUCCCACUAUGGGUCUGUGCUCUCCAGCCCUUGGCCUGUAUAUUCCUGGAGCUCAGCCAUCCAUGAAUUCAGCUGCUGCUCAUCUCCCACCUCAAAGAUGAUGUCUGUCCGAUCCUUCACUUUCAGCACAAAGGUGUACAAGUUGUCGGGCAUCUCGAGGCGUGUGCAUCACCAGACCUCCUGGAUGCUAGAGCAGGCUGCUUGUAACUUGGGCUUUGAACUCUUGGGCGGGUCGAAGAGCUCCAGCAUGUGGGCCGUGCCCUCGGGGCCCCGGACGCCCCGCAGUGCCAGCAGCCCCGCUGACAGCGCGCACCGCUGUCCAUGGAGGCCUCGUCGGCCAGGCUGUAGCGCAGCAUCACCUCCUUGAGGGCCUCGGGCGGCGGCUCCCAUGCCAGCCUCCAGGUCAGGUGACUCCGGGCCGGUCCGGCGCCUCCCCCGCGGCCCCGGCAGUGGGCAGCUCCCUGGCCGAGCCGCGGCGGAGGAUGUGGCGGAGGCUGUGGCGCAGGUGCUGGAGGGAGCAGGCGGGCGGCUGCAGCGGGGCAGCUCCUCCGAGCUGCGGGCCUUUGGCAGAGCAGGGGCCGCGGCGCCUGCUCCCGGCUCAGCUGGGGGCACCUCGGCCUCCAAAUCAAGAGCACUAGGAUAGGGGGCCGACUCUGAGAGGAUCUUGGAGCCUGCCGGCUUCUUGUCCGAGGUGGUUGUUAUCAUGGCUUGGACUGCUGGGGGUGGCGGCCCCGGGGGGGUAGGUGCCGUGGGAAUGGGUGGAAAGAGUAAAGGUUUUAGCCAGCGAGGGUAGUUUUAACAAGGUACUGCCAGGUGAGUAUGUAGGGGGCCUGGUCAGGGUGGCCUCCGGGCCCUGGGUCCAUGACUCUGUCUUGAACCGCCUGAAUCACAGAGAGGGCAAAAGAUCCCUCUCGGGGCCAUCCCACACCGAAGUCGGGCCAUAAUGGAGGCAGGGGGUCAUGUAGGGGACACAGCUAUUCAAGAUGGCGGACACAAAAUGGAAGCAGGGGUCCCACAGUAUCCUCUUCCAUAGUUUGAAUCUUACUGCUGCCCUUACUCAACUGACCUCUGGGCCUGUGCUUGGGCACAGCACAGCAGGCCCGCAUCACAAAGGGUGGCCUGGCCACAAAGGGCUCCUGAGUGUGGGGGAUGGGACAGAGGAGGAGCAGGCGGGACCACAGCCCCUCCCCCACUGCCCAGCCCCACGGGGCUCUGCACCUUCCUGGGCCUUCUGGGUCCUUCUUUCCAACCCUAUUCACCUUGCCAGAGAGACGAUUUUUCCAUUCAUCCUGACAUUAUCUGGUUCCCAUGGUCCUUUAGAGAUCUUGACUAGAGGCCCACCAAUUUCAUAAACCUUGAAAUUAUUAAGUUGAGCCAGGAAUUUUAGCUAUUUCCCAAGGAUUUUUGCUCAGGAUUUCUCUGUUCACCUUCCCCACAUAAUGUUUAUGCCUCGUAUAAACCAAGGCACAGAACUUAAAUUUAUUUUACAUUUAUUUAGAUUUGUGCGCUUCCGCCAAAAGAUAGUCCUCACUUUCUGUAUAAGUUUGAAGCAUGUUGUCUUAGCCCAGUGGGGCUGCCAUCACAACAUGCCACAGACCGGAUAGAUUAAAAACAACAGAAAUGUACUUCUCACAGCUCUGGAGGCAGGAAAGUCCAAGAUCAAGGCGCCGGUAUGGCCACGUCUAGUGAUGGCCCUCUUCCUGGUCCUCCUCCCAGAGUGAUAGCCUCCUCCCAGAGGCUUCUCAUUGUGUUCCCUGUGGGAGGGGGUUAGGGACCUCCUGGAGCCUCUUUUAUAAGGCCCUCAUCCCCUGAAUAAGGGCUGAGAAUCACCUGCCUAUGGUCCCACAUCUUAACAUCUUGAGGAGUUAGGAUUCCAACCUGUGAAUCCUGGGAGGGCACAGACAUUCAGACACGCACAUGUGCUGCACCCAGAAACCAGGAAUGGGUGAGAGUGAGCUAAGGGUACUGGGUAAGCACUGACCCUUAAGGUCUGCAGGGUAGGGGAUGAGACUAGGUGUCAAACCUUGGGGCUGAGUCAGGUCUAGAGCAGUCUCAUCAGUCAUCCCUAGGGUGCAUAGUUUUUUCUGCGUGAGCCUUGCUUCCCCUUCCCCUCCCCUCCAUACCACUGGAACCUCAAGGCCAGCCUGAACCACAGAGAGAGGGAGCUUCGAGUCAUCUAUGUAUUCGCUUAUGAUACCAUCGUACGUCCUCUCUGCGGCAGUAAGUCAGGAUUCACGUGGUGAACGUGUCUUGAUGCUCCAUGUGGACUUAAUGUGUAUCCCCAGCAAAGUGGUCGUAAUGUCUUUCUACAGGUCUGGUGGGAAUGGCAUUCGAGUUUAUUUGGUUUUAUUGUCAUGAAUGUGCACAUUCUUAAGCACAUUCUGCACCUACUAUUGCUUCUGUGGCCUGUAUAUCAUUUCCUCCUUGAUGCUGUUCUCAUCCUGAAUUUAAUCUUUUAUCAAAAUUUGGACUUAGGUCUUUUUUCUAUCCAUAUUUGACCUCUUUUAUUUUUUCCAUAACUCUAUUUUCAGUAUAUUUUAUCUACUUUUUUAUGCCACUUAAAAAUCUUACCCAGCCAUCUUUCACUUUAACUUGUUCUAUUAUGAUUUAUUUCUAUCACCUUAUUUGAUGCUUUAUUUCCCAUACUUUAUUCUUUUUUUCUGCACCUUUUGCAUCUUCCAUUUUAUAGAUCAAGUAUUUUUCUGUUUGAAUUUGGAGAUUUUUAGCAUUGUAAUGGUUUUAUAUUAUUAUUAUGUGAAUUUCCUCCUCAGUUUCUUACAUGUGUCAAGUUUAGCAUCAUCUCAGCAAACCAAGCAAGCAUUCUCACCUCCUCUGAUUUUGCUUUUUCCAUCAUCAUGGCCCUUAUUUCAAGGGGAUAUUUCCUGAAGCUGUACUUCUGGGUUAUUUUGGAUAUGCUACAUUUUCAUGUAUUUUUUUGUUAUACAAUAAACAACACUUACAUCAGUCCUUAUGUCCACAAACGUAAUAGCAUAUUCUUAAGUUUAUUUUUUUCCUAUUGGAAUAUUUCUUGUAAGAAAUUCUCAACAGAUUUCUGUGAGAUAAUACUUUGGAGGCCUUAUUUUCUGAUAACAUGUUUUUGCAUGUCCUAAUGUUUAAAAGACCUCGGCUGAAUGUAAAGACUUAAAACUUGUUUCAAUUUUUUUAAACAUGUCAUUGCCUUGUAUUCUUAUCUCCAAUAUUGCUGUUGAAAAUCCAGAUGUCAAUCAAAAUAAAUUUUUCUUUAAAGGAU